rfam:Nematostella vectensis strain CH2 x CH6 NEMVEscaffold_644_Cont31247, whole genome shotgun sequence.
GCCUUGUUAGCGCAGUAGGAAGCGCGUCAGUCUCAUAAUCAAAUCUAGAAAUCUGAAGCUCGUGAUUUCGAUCAUCACACGGGGCA